rnacentral:lncRNA from 10 species
CAAAACAAAAACAAAAACUUUUUUCCCUAGCAAAAAUAUAGGAUCAAUAUUAACUGGAAACCAGUGGGGCCAGAUGUAUUUCAGACUUUGGAAUGACACACCAAGCAAGGAGUGGGGCAGCGCCGGGUAGCCAAACCUAUUGACAUUUCUGCAUCAAAGUGUAUGAACAUUCGUACCAAGUCAAAUGAAUAGCCUCACUUUGGAUGUUUUGCCACCAAGUUUGGUUUUUUAAAAAAGAAGUCUGGGCCGGGCACGGUGGCUCACGUCUGUAAUCCCAACAAUUUGGGAGGCCGAGGUGGGUGGAUCACCUGAGGUAAGGAGUUCGAGACCAGCUUGACCAAUAUGGUGAAACCCCGUCUCUACUAAAAAUACAAAAAUUAGCCGGGUGUGUUGGCAGGCGCCUGUAGUCCCAACUACUCAGGAGGCUGAGACAGAAGAAUCACUUGAACCCGGGAAGGAGAAGUUGCAGUGAGCCGAGACUGAGUCACUGCACUCCAUCCUGGGUAAAAGAGUGAGACUCCGUCUCAAAAAAAAGAGUCUGGCUUUAGAGUUUUUUUGUUUUUUGUUUUUUGUUUUUAAAGAGGGAAUCUUGCUCUUGUCACGCAGGCUGGAGUGCAAUGGCGCAAUCGUGGCUCACUGCAAUCUCCGCCUCCUGGGUUCAAACAAUUCUCCUGCCUCAGCCUCCCCAGUAGCUGAGAUUACAAGCAUGCCUCUAUGCCUGGCUAAUUUUUUGUAUUUUUUUAGUAGAGGCGCCUCUACGCCUGGCUAAUUUUUUGUAUUUUUUUAGUAGAGGCGAGGUUUCACCAUGUUGGCCAGGAAGGUCUCCAACUCCUUUUGGAGUUGGAUCAAGUCAUCCGCCCUUCUCGGUCUCCCAAAGUGCUGGGAUUACAGAAGUCAUCCACCCACCCCACCCUUCCUGCCUUUUAGAGUUUUAUGAAUUUACAGUAAUGGAAUGCAGACCUGAAGGAUAAUGACCAAGAUUUAUGGAGAGCUAAAGAUUGAUUUGUUUUGAGACAGGGUCUUGCUCUGUCACCCAGACUGGAGUGCAGUGAUGGGAUCACAACUCACUGCAACCUCUGCCUCAGCCCUCCAAGUAGCUGGGAUUACAGACACGUGCCACGAUGCCCGGCUAAUUUUUGUAUUUUUCUGUAGAAGCGAGGUUUCACCAUGUUGCCCAGGUUGGUCUCGAACUUCUGGGCUCAAGCAGUCCUUCCGCCUUGGCCUCCUAAAGUGCUCGGGAUUACAGGCGUCAGCCACCGUGCUUGGCCUAAAAAAUUAUUUUUUUAGCAGACAUUUAUUGAGUGUUUAAUAUGUGGCAGGCAUUUUGUAUACUUUGGCUUUAUUCCUUUCAACACUCAGUGAAGUAGUAGGUACUAUUAUUUAUUUAUUUUUAUUUUUUUUUUGGUUUGGAGUCUUGCUCUGUCGCCCAGGCUGGAGUGCAGUGGCGCGAUCUCGGCUCACUGCAAGCUCCACCUCCAAGGUUUACACCAUUCUCCUGCCCUAGCCUCCCAAGUAGCUGGACUACAGGCGCCCACCACCACGCCUGGCUAAUUUUUUAUAUUUUUUGUAGAGAUGGGGUUUCACUGUGUUAGCCAGGAUGGUCUUGAACUCCUGACCUUAUGAUCCAUCCGCCUUGGCCUCCCAAAGUGCUGGGAUUACAGGCGUAAGCCACCGCACCUGGCCUUAGGUACUAUUAUUAAUCUGGUCUGAUAGAUGGAAAAACAGACUUACAGAGGUUCAGUGAAUUACAUGGGGUCAUGCUGAGAGCAAGUCGCAUAAUUGGGACUGUAAACCAAAUCUGACUUCUGAGAACAAGUGCUAACCACUACGUGACACUCCCACACUUAUAUUUUACCUUGUACUAAUUAUGGUCCCUUGGUACCUGUUGCCCCCACCCCCCCCCCUUUUUUUUUUCUGUGAGAGGGAGUCUUGCUCUGUCACCCAGACUGGAGUGCGGUGGCCUGAUCUCAGCUCACUGCAACCCUGCCUCCCAGUUUCAAGGGAUUCUUGUGCCUCAGCCUCCUGAGUAGUUGGGACUACACCACGUCCGGCUAAUUUUGUAUUUUCAGUAAUUCCUACCUCUCAAAGUUUCCCUGAGGAUUAAGUGUGGCAUUUCCAGAAGCUUUUGUAAAGUGGCAAGGACUGUACAAAUAAUUGGCAUCUCACUUUCCAGUGUACCUUCUC